GCAUUAGCUAGUUGGUAAGGUAACGGCUUACCAAGGCAAUGAUGCAUAGCCGACCUGAGAGGGUGAUCGGCCACACUGGGACUGAGACACGGCCCAGACUCCUACGGGAGGCAGCAGUAGGGAAUCUUCGGCAAUGGGGGCAACCCUGACCGAGCAACGCCGCGUGAGUGAAGAAGGUUUUCGGAUCGUAAAGCUCUGUUGUAAGUCAAGAACGGGUGUGAGAGUGGAAAGUUCACACUAUGACGGUAGCUUACCAGAAAGGGACGGCUAACUACGUGCCAGCAGCCGCGGUAAUACGUAGGUCCCGAGCGUUGUCCGGAUUUAUUGGGCGUAAAGCGAGCGCAGGCGGUUUGAUAAGUCUGAAGUUAAAGGCUGUGGCUCAACCAUAGUUCGCUUUGGAAACUGUCCAAACUUGAGUGUCAGAAC
rnacentral:rRNA from 1 species